UGAGGAAUAUUGGGUCAAUGGGCGAGAGCCUGAACCAGCCAAGUAGCGUGCAGGAUGACGGCCCUAUGGGUUGUAAACUGCUUUUGUGCGGGGAUAAAGUGUGGGACGCGUCCCAUAUUGCAGGUACCGCAUGAAUAAGGACCGGCUAAUUCCGUGCCAGCAGCCGCGGUAAUACGGAAGGUCCGGGCGUUAUCCGGAUUUAUUGGGUUUAAAGGGAGCGUAGGCCGGAGAUUAAGCGUGUUGUGAAAUGCCGCGGCUCAACCGUGGCACUGCAGCGCGAACUGGUUUUCUUGAGUGCGCGCGACGCAGGCGGAAUUCGUGGUGUAGCGGUGAAAUGCUUAGAUAUCACGAGGAACCCCGAUUGCGAAGGCAGCUUGCGGGAGCGCAACUGACGCUGAAGCUCGAAGGUGCGGGUAUCGAACAGGAUUAGAUACCCUGGUAGU
rnacentral:rRNA from 1 species